GCUGUGGCUGCACGUUGUUGGAAAAGCCUCAUACAGUAACUCUGUGGGGACUUUUUGCUUACAGGUCUAUUUCUUAGGCCUGAGAUAAGGGACUAUAAGAUGGAA
rnacentral:snoRNA from 1 species